rnacentral:rRNA from 1 species
CCUACGGGGGGCAGCAGUGGGGGAUAUUGCACAAUGGGGGGAACCCUGAUGCAGCGACGCCGCGUGGGUGAAGGAGCGUUUCGGCGCGUAAAGCCCUAUCGGCAGGGAAGAAGGAGGACGGUACCUGACUAAGAAGCUCCGGCUAACUACGUGCCAGCAGCCGCGGUAAUACGUAGGGAGCAAGCGUUGUCCGGAAUUACUGGGUGUAAAGGGAGCGUAGACGGAAUUGCAAGUCUGAUGUGAAAAUCCGGGGCCCAACCCCGGAACUGCAUUGGAAACUGUAUUUCUAGAGUGUCGGAGAGGCA